GUAAUCUUUCAAUAUGCCAGGCAGCACAUGUAAAACAUGCCCCUCCUGCAAAACCAUUCUGCCUUGCGCUAAAAAGGUUUGCAGCCACUGCAAAAUGGUCCAGCCUGUAAAGGAACGCCUCAAAAUUGCCUUGAGAAAAUUUGAGGCUAAGCGGGAAGAGUGGGCGUCUUCCCGCAAGAAGAACCACAACAUGGCUGUUGUCAAGCAGGAAAUGUUCCUCCUGCUCGAAAAGCUUCAAGCAGCAGGAUAUAAACCUGUCCUGCUGCUUGGAAAAGCCACUAAAAAGAGCCAUGUGGUCAAGGUGUUCACACCUCGUUGCACCUUGGCCACAUUUGCGGAGGAGUCCCUCAAAAAAAUGGGCUCCAUCCAUGAGUACAUUUGUCAAGGAUGGACCCCUUUUGCAAGUGGGACUGCAGAGGGGCCAGAAGAGGGCAGGGGGACCACUCAGGUGAAGACAUACAGGAAUAUCUAUGACAAUUAAAGAGGCUAAUCCUAUAUAUUGUUAUAUACUGCAU